rnacentral:lncRNA from 1 species
AGGAAGUGGCCCGACGUGAUAAACCGAACGGUCCGGCCGGAGGACAAGGAAGCGUGGAAGAAGAACCGAAGCUGUCGAAGCAACGUUCGCGGGAAGUCUAACCGCUUGAAGCACGUUGCAGAGUCGAGACCAGUUGAGCGGCCGGAAUUUUACGAACGAUUAUGCAAGCGUACGUCUUGAGGACGACCAUGAGCCACAUAUCAUCUCAAAUUUCUGCCCGUCAAGCCUUGUGACGAAACGGAAUCGGACUUCUUCAAGGCGCGGAUCCUAAAGUUGUUUGGAUCGCAGAGUGACGCGGAAACCCAGUGACAGUAAGCGGGUGCUAGUACCUCCGACGAGAUGAGUGACUGCCCGGGAGGGCUGGAGGAAGCUUGUGUGAGACAGAUGGCCUCCUUGGCGAAUUGUAACCGGCAGACCUUCAAACCGCACAAAGGCUAAGCAAAGCCACAACUGGAUGCAGCAAGACUAAAAGCUUUAUAAUAUACUCUGGCCCAAACCAGGCCAAUCAACGUGCUGGCCUGAACCAGGCCAAUCAACGUGCUGGCCCGAGCCCGGCCCGGGCCCACAGUCAAAAGUCCGAGCCCAUCCCAGGCCUGGGCUUUCGGCUCAGCAAAGUCUGUGGAUCUGGUUAUGCUUCCUGUACGAGACAGAUCACGAAGCGGUUGCUGACUGACCAGUUGGGGCGAAAAUUUUUGUGGGAAGGACGCAAGAGAAAGUUGACAUUCAGGAACCUUCACCUUGCUGAGUGCAUCAUAAAUGCAGUGCAGAGCUGCCAUAAAUGUGAAGACUUCAAGGUAGAAACCAUGGUCACGGAUUAACUUCGCCACGCACCUGCCUGACAUCAGUCAUCUCAAAUGGAACAUUCUGCACCACAGGAGAUAGAGAUGUGAACUGCCUUAAGUGGGCCUUGAAUGUGCUGAGCUUUUUAUUAUGUUUAUCAGACAUUUUUUUUAAGCAAAGUAUCCUGCAUUGUUCAGUAAGUAUACUUUAUUUUGAAAACCUCAUGCUGUCUAUGCAGCAUUGUUCAAAAAUUAUACUUUAUUUUAAAAGCAUCAAGCACUGCUCGUCUGUCUAACAGUAACAAUAAAGAGUUAAUGGUGA